CAGAGGGCUCUCACCGGGCACAGAAUCCACCGAUGGCAUGAUCCUGGACUUCCAGCCUCCAGAACUGUGAGAAAUCAAUGUUAAGCCAGCCCGCCUCCCCCCACCCCCACUUCCCGCCUCAGUUCUGUUCCCUGAUCCCCAGCCCGGGCCCCUCCGAGGGCUGUUCCCUCUGGGAAGUCUCAGCCCCCUGGGGCCCAGGAUCGGAUAUUAGCCCAAGCCUCUGACCCUUCCCAGCUGCCCUGCCUUCGGGAUGAUGUCCAGAUUCUGACGGUCCUGCAGGUCCUGGCAGGUUGUGACCGACCUGCUGUCCCGCCUGAGCUGUCACCCCUGCUCCUGUCACAGCACUCCUGACCGACCUGCUUGCUGCUCCACAGAGUUCUCUCCUGUGCGGGGUGGGCGUUUGCUUCUGUCCAUCCUGCUCUCGGGGGCUCCCUUCAUCCUCCUUUCGUGGCCUGGUCCUUCUUUGUCCCCAAUCUCAAAUGUCACUUCUGCUAAAAUCUCCCCUGGCCCACCUGGGCCCCCUCUCCCCAGAGUCUCCCCUUCAGAGCCACAAGCACCAGGCUGGGCUGCCUCCUGGUCGAAUCCUUUGAGCUUUGCAGCCCCUGCAGCGGCCCCGCCAGGGGAGCUUUCAUCACAGACCUGGCCUGGCAGGUGGGGCCAUGUCCAGGGGGCAGAUGGCCCUGCCCCCACUAGGACACCAGGGUAGAGGCUCUCCGAGCGUGGACCAUGAUAUCAGUGCCACUGGGACGGUCAAGGGUGAAGAUUCUCAGACCUCAUCCAGGCUGGUGAAUCAGAAGCCCCGGGGAGGUGUGUUCCUUCAAGCCCCCCAGGGGCUUCUGAUGCCGGCCAGGUAUGAGAGCCCCGGGCCGGGGAGAGAACUGCCAGGAUGAGCUGCCGCCCCCUUGGCAGCCUCCCCUAUCCCCUGUGCACUCAGGUCUCCACGUCAGCAUCCGAAGCCUCUGUGUCCUGAAGGCGCAGUCCGAGGAGACCGUUUGCCACCAAAGCUUAAAGCCAGGUGUCAAUAAACCCACUGGGGACCAGGCCGGACGGACUUUGGAAGAAAAGGUGCUGUGUGCCCUUCAGCAGUUCCAGCGAAAGGCCCAUCAGUUGGUGCCUCGGUCCCCUGGGCUCCCAGCCAAGCACACCUGACUGGAUUAAUGAGCAUCUGGUUGGGGAAGAAAAGGAGCCAGAGGCGGCAGGACAUUUGUGAGAGAAGCGGGGGACACCAUUCACCAGCAAGAACAGCAGCAUAAGCCGGCGUGAACUCCAACCAUCCUGGGCCAGUGCCCGGGGGUCCCCUGGCUUGGAACCAGUUGAAGCUGAUUAUGAGAGAUUCCACUGUCAUGCUGCAACCAAGCAAAAACACAAUAUGCACAGUUGCUAGAAAAGUCACCCCUCCGUUGACUGUUGUCUGUGUGCAUCAGAAAGGUGAUGCCACAGACCUGUGGUGAGGGCAAAGUGGAAUGAGACAAGAGUGACAGUUUGGCGUGGAGGGUGGCAUUUGGCUACGUAAGGACACAGCGCGGACCCAAUUACAACUGAGGCCAGAGCCAUUGUAUCCCAGGGUCAAAACGGGACCUUGCUGUUCCCCUGCUCCAAGCCUCUAAGCAGCUCCCCAUGGUUGACUGAGAGAAGCAGGCCACCUGCACUGAAGACUUGCUCUCCGGGCUCCAUCCUGGAAGCACAGGCCUCCUCCCAGCUGGCCUCCAGGAUGUCUCACCCCCUCGCCUCUGCUCCAUGGUGUAUGGAAGUUCCCAGGCUAGGGGUUGAAUUGAAGCUGCAGCUCAGCCUCCGCCAGAUCUGAGCCACAUCUGCCACCAACACCACAGCUCACGGCAACACUGGAUCCUUAACCCACUGAGCAAGGCCAGGGAUACUAGUUGGGUUCGUUACUACCGAGCCACCACGGGAGCUCCAGGUGAUCCUUUUGAGGAAAGGAAUUGAGGUUAUUUAAUUGGGGGAGGGUCAGGAGUGCCUGAGCCCCGUCUUGACGUGGUUAUCAAGAUUGGGAAAGAUGUUGUCUGCUCGUCUCCUGUUUUUGCAAAAAGCCACUCAGAUUGAGUUCCAGGAAGGACUGUCUUGCAUGAUGACACAUUUCGGCCGGGUCCCUAUUCGGGACAGACCCAGGGGAGCAAGCUAGAUUCUGGGGCGAAGCAGCUAAUUCCAACUGGGACGGGGGACUUCAGACGCCAGCCUCCUCUCUGAAGGGGACGCUGGGACAGUCUGGGGAGAGAAACCCGAGGCCUUCGGUUUGUGAACAAGCUGGCGGGAACCUCCAGGACGAAGGUGUGGCGAGCGGCCCAGGACAGGGAGGCGGGAAUCUAAAGCUGAUGCGACAGAGACUCGACCCUCUGCUCUGUUCUGCUUGAAGGUGGGUGGGCGACAGCUGUGGCAGGGGGACACCACUGGACAGACAGGCACUCUCGUGAUCCUUAGCGCCUUGGAGCCUAGAGGGGCAGGGAGGGUCCCGUCGGGGCCAGAUGUCCUUAAGAAGAGACAGAAAAAGAACCUCUGCGUGCCCACUACGGGACGGAAGUCGCCUCCCUCCCCUCCUUCCUUCCCUCCGAUUCAUUCAUUCAUUCCUUCGACCUGAGCCUCGGUGCUGUGGCAGCUGCCAGCACAGAAGCAGAGCAGGGAAAGAUGAGAGGCGAGGCGGAUGAACAAGUGCAUUGUGGGGCCGUAUGAGAGGUGCGUGGAGGCUGCAUGGAGGGGUUCUGGAGGAAGUGAACAAGGAGGAGCUGGUCAGGGAGGAGGACUGGAGCGAGCAGGCCCGUCACGCACCCCAUCAGCCCCAGCCCUGGUCCCGACGAGGACACCGAGGUUCAGGGUGGACCUCGGAAUCACGGCUGGCAUGUCGCAGGAUUCCAGGGCAGUUUUCUUGACUCUGAGGGGAGCGGGCUCUCCAGCAGGCUGCAGAACCUUCGGCUGGGUGAUUUUUGCCGAAGCCUUUGGCCCCGGCCCUGCAGCCUGCCAUUGGCUCUCUUUCAGGGUCACAGGAGGGAGAAACCCUUUGCUCUGAACGUUUGUUUCCCUUCCUGUUUCGCUUCAGUGGACAUUACAGGCUCUGAAUGGGGAGCCUGAGCCCCUGGCUCCCAUGGGCUGGUGGUUCGGAAAGCAAAGCAGCGCACGCAUGUGGCCGGCCACGCUGGCCGGGCUGCGGUCCCCAGAGGACACUCGGUCCACAGCAGACACCCCCCCGCCGCCCCCUGCCACCCCCUGCCCACCCCACACAUGCUCAGGGCAGAUCUCUGACAGGGAGGCUUUCUGCAAGCCCAGUCUCCUCGGGGCUGUGCUGUCUGGCCCGCAGGACUCAGUGGAUUCUCUUUUACUGAAAUACACAUUUCAAAUAUUUUGUGGCUUCUCGUACAUUUUGUUUAAAAUGAGUUGAAGUUGGAACCUACGAGAGAUAUUUGAAAAAUCUUCCUUAAACACUGAAAAAAAAAAAA
rnacentral:lncRNA from 1 species